rnacentral:lncRNA from 1 species
GGAAAUUAAAUGCUGCACGCAAGCCUCCUGUAAGAUCACUGUGGGCACGCAACACGUGUACUGGAUAGAGAGAUAUUUGUGGCAAAGCCUAGCGUUAUAUCUGUAAAUACAAAUAAUUUAUAAAUAAAAGUUUUAUACACAUAUUCUUAGCGAUAUAAAAGUAAAUACUAAAAAAUAAACUAUGAUGAUUAAAACCCUCCAAUAAGCCAUAAACUUAAUAUUUAAAAUUUAAAACUUAGCCAAUAAACAUAAAUAAAAACGAAAAGAUUAGACUCCAUACAAGGAGGAAGUAAGGCAUAGAGUUUGAGAGAAAAAAAAAGCAGAAACAUGAUCACUUAGAAUGAGGUUAGUUAUUAAUUUUAAUCAUUUUAAAACUUCAAAAAUAGAGUUAUUUGAUUUUUUAAAGAAUUUAUCCUAUAAAACUUUUAUAAAAUAUACACGGAUAACGGAUUAGCUGUUUAUGAAAAUUUGCACGUCCAUAAAUAGGCCGUUUCCCUAUCUUUAUCCGUGUAAUGCAGCAUGCAGUCUGUCCAUUGAUGACACGAUGCUGACAUGAAAGGGGAACUUUUUUGCACAUGCAUGCAGCUGAAAGUUUGCUGAUGACAGUACGUUAAAACCUGUACGGACUGUUCUCCUUCACUAUUGGAUAUUUGGAUGCAUGGUAUUAUAACGCUUCCUCUAUUCCAAAAUUAAUAACUUUAUAUAUUUUGGCACUAUUUAGAUCCCAAAUUUUUUUAGGAGAGUAGUCGUAUCGACGUGUACAGUCACAUAUUUAAAGUAUUAAACGUAGUUUAAUUAUAAAAUAAAUUUCAGAUUCCGUUUGAAAAUCGUGAGACGAAUCUUUAAGUCUAAUUAACCUAUCAUUAGCACAUGUUGAUUAUUGUAGCACUUACGGCUAAUCGUGUCCUAAUUAGGCUCAAAAGAUUCAUCUCACUAUUUUCUCUAUAACUGUGUAAUUAGUUUUGAUAUUCAUCUAUAUUUAAUGUUUUAUUUAGAUGUCCAAAGAUUCGAUGUGAUGUUUUUAGGAAAAGUUUUUGGGAACUGAACAAUGCCUUUGUAAAAUUUUUUUAAAUAAGACGAAUGAUCAAACAUGUAUACAAAAGUCAACGGCGUCGAACAUUAACAUAGAUAGUAUUAUUCAUUAGAGAUUAUGAUUAAAAUGUUAUAUGUGCAACAGGAAGACACAGUGUACCGCUCAGCAAAUAUGUGGCCACCACAGUGCUCAGUUCGGUGACCGGUCGCUUUAGCUGAAUCGAGCAAAACUGUCAUCAAUGGCUGUCAUGGACAAGAACAGUGACUGGAUGUUAGCGUUUGAGCGAUGAUACCAUGCACUCUUCCCGUUUUAAAUUGGGGUAAUUGUUUGGCUAUUCCGCAUAAACAACAUAAUUACAAAAUAAAAAUAAUUCGUUAACAAAACAUUUAUGUAAGCGUUCUUAGCAAUCUAGAUGAACAAAUACUAAAAAAUAAACUACGAUGAAGAAAACAUCAAAAUCAACUAUAAAUUUAAGGUUAAAAAUUCAAAUUUUGGCUUAUAAAUAUAAAACAAGGCUGAAUAUGUAUUUAACCAUUUUAGAUUAACUAGCAUUAAACAAAGUAAAACAAUCGAUGCUUCUUUAUUUUCUAAUAAAUAAAGGAUAGGUGAGGAGGGCUUUUCAAUGGAAGAUGAGAAUAAGAAGUUUAAUAAAUAGUGAUCGUUGUGAUAAUAAGAACUAACCCAAGUAACACUAAAAAUGUUUAUAAUUUGGAAUCAAUUUUGAAUACCACAAAUUAUUCUAUUCUUGAACAUUUGGAGUUCUUUUUAGUAACCCAAGUUGGCAAGAAUGAAAUUUUAUGAUCUCUAAGAAGUAUAAAGAUAACACAAGGUUGAUAUCGGUCGGUCAAUAGCUUAAUAACAUAUACUGCAUCUAUUUCGAAAUAUAAGUACUUUUCGGUUGUUCAGCUUAGAUUUAAACCUUGUGAUGACGAGGAAGAAAUGUGUCGUCCCGUCUUCAUCCCUGGAGUGGACAUGGCCAUGCAGAUUGCUGCAGAGAUUGCCACCUCGUGGUUGCAUGUAGGUGUGCUGGCAUUUUGACUUCGCCAUCUUCACUGGGGAUGUGGGGAAGAUGUCGAUGCCAAGGAACACCCGCUUUAACACCGUGAAGAUGUAGAUCUUGUAUGUCUCCAUAUGCUCUCUGUCUUUAGAGGAGCAUGAGGAGCCAGGGGCGCCGAGGACCUGACUUGCUUGGGUCCUCCCAAGCCCUGGCCUUCUCCUUGAUAUACACCCCA